rnacentral:rRNA from 1 species
UACGAAGGGGGCUAGCGUUGCUCGGAAUCACUGGGCGUAAAGGGUGCGUAGGCGGGUCUUUAAGUCAGGGGUGAAAUCCUGGAGCUCAACUCCAGAACUGCCUUUGAUACUGGCGACCUUGAGUCCGGGAGAGGUGAGUGGAACUGCGAGUGUAGAGGUGAAAUUCGUAGAUAUUCGCAAGAACACCAGUGGCGAAGGCGGCUCACUGGCCCGGUACUGACGCUGAGGUGCGAAAGCGUGGGGAGCAACAGGG